UGCAGCCUUGCGCUGUUAGGAACUGUGGUGUUUAGGACUUCGCUUAGGCUUGAUGGCUCACCUAAAGUUCACUUGAUUGUGACUCUAGGCCCAGAGAGGGUGUAAGGCCCGUCUGGGUGAGCUGUCUUGUUUUUGCGUUGUCCAUAGAGUCGGGUUGUUUGAGAUUGCAGCCCAAAGUGGGUGGUAAACUCCAUCUAAGGCUAAAUACUGAACACUAGUCCGAUAGUCAACAAGUACCGUGAGGGAAAGUUGAAAAGAACUUUGAAGAGAGAGUUCAAUAGUGCGUGAAGCUGUCUAGAGGUAAACGAGUGGGGCCGAAAUUGGCAUUGAGGAUUCAGCUAGACAAGGCUACGGCGGUGUGUUGUUAUCGACUCUAAUUAGGGGCGAUGCAUGCAUAGUGUUCUGUAGUUUUGUUGGUGCACUUUCUCAGUGUCAUCACCAUGACCGGCAUUCUGAUAGUCUGUCAUUGGGCGGUGGUAGCGUCGACUUCGGUUGGCGUGAAACGUCUGAUAUGGAACUGUUGGGUUGCUGUUUCUGCGAUGCAAGAUUUGAAGCGUGCAUGGCUGGAUUGGAUUGAGGCUGCUUCGGGUGGACUUCAUAAGAAGACCAUCUGAGGUGGCUUUAGUUUGAUUAGUCCUCUGCUGUUUGCAUCAAUAGUCUAUGGUUUUAAAGUAGGCAACCUACUCGACCCGUCUUGAAACACGGACCAAGGAGUCUAGCAUGUGCGCGAGUCAUUGGGCGUUACGAAACCCAUAGGCGAAGUGAAAGCAAAGGUCUGCUUUAAUCAGGCUUAGAUGUGAUCCCGGUAGUCUAUCAAGACUCCGGGCGCAACAUCGGCCCGUCCCAUUAUUUGUAUUAAUAGGGGCGGAGCAAGAGCGUACAUGCUGAAACCCGAAAGAUGGUGAACUAUGCUUGCGCAGGUUGAAGCCAGAGGAAACUCUGGUGGAGGACCGUAGCGAUUCUGACGUGCAAAUCGAUCGUCAGACGUGAGUAUAGGGGCGAAAGACUAAUCGAACCAUCUAGUAGCUGGUUCCCUCCGAAGUUUCCCUCAGGAUAGCUGGCAUGCAUGAUAAUAAACAGUUUUAUCCGGUAAAGCGAAUGAUUAGAGGUAUUGGGGACGAAAUGUCCUCAACCUAUUCUCAAACUUUAAAUGGGUGAGAUGCUGAACUCUCUUAAUUGGAGUUUCGGCAUUGAAUGUGUGUGCCAAGUGGGCCAUUUUUGGUAAGCAGAACUGGCGCUGUGGGAUGAACCAAACGUCUGGUUAAGGUGCCUAACACAACGCUAAUGAGAUACCACAAAAGGUGUUGGUUGAUAUAGACAGCAGGACGGUGGCCAUGGAAGUUGGAAUCCGCUAAGGAGUGUGUAACAACUCACCUGCCGAAUCAACCAGCCCUGAAAAUGGAUGGCGCUUAGCGUUGAACCUAUACCAGACCAACACUGUGAGUAUAAUUAAUUUAAAGCAGUGUUGAGUAGGAGGGUCGCCGUGGUGAGCGUUGAAGCUUAGUCUGUGAAGACUGGUGGAGCCGCCACGGGUGCAGAUCUUGG
rnacentral:rRNA from 1 species